UACAGAGGUCUCAAGCGUUGUUCGGAUUCAUUGGGCGUAAAGGGUGCGUAGGCGGCGCGGUAAGUCGGAUGUGAAAUCUCGGAGCUUAACUUCGAAACUGCAUUCGAUACUGCCGUGCUUGAGGACUGGAGAGGAGACUGGAAUUUACGGUGUAGCGGUGAAAUGCGUAGAUAUCGUAAGGAAGACCAGUGGCGAAGGCGAAUCUCUGGACAGUUACUGACACUGAGGCACGAAGGCCAGGGGAGCAAACGGG
rnacentral:rRNA from 1 species